AAAGAAAUAUCACACAAAUAAGCAAACCUGCAUCUUCUCUCCGACAAUGGUGUGCGGCGAUUUUUUUGGUUUCUUUCGGAUAGAAAGAAAAAAGUGCAGCAAAGCAGUUUUUGGUGGACGGGAAUUGUGGAUUCAGAAACUAUAGUAGUGGUGGUGGCAUUCAACGGCAGCGGCGGCAGUGUGGUGGAUCCGGAGAGUCGGCUUCGAGUUUGGGUGGAGUAGCUGUGGAGUGACGGCGAAUAUUCUUCGAGUUUGAAAUUAUUCUUCUUCUUCUUCCUCAGUAUACGACUCAAGAUUCACAAAUUGGAAAAAAAUGCUAUGGAAAUUGGAAGAAAAUGCUUUGAAGAAUGUUUGCAUUUUUUUUGGGUUUUGGCAGGGAUGUGCCGAAAAAGCUUGAGACGCCAUUUUUCUUCCCUUUUGUUUUCUUGGAUUUGGAAUAUGAAUGAACAUCAUGCUCAGAUUGGGUUUGGUUGAUGGGUUUUGCUGGAAAAAAUCAUGGUGAAAAAGUGGAGUGUUGUUCUUGAGGUUGGAGAAGAGGGCUUAUUUGAAUAUAUAAAGGACUCAAUUGAAAAUCUUAAAAACUUCAUUUUGGUGCUUAUAAA
rnacentral:lncRNA from 1 species